GGGCGAGUGGCGGAAUGGUAUACGCGCGACACUUAAAAUGUCGUGUCCCCCGGACAUGUGGGUUCGACUCCCACCUCGCCUACCA
rnacentral:tRNA from 1 species